GCGGCGGCGGCGCAGCGGCAUCUCCAUCCUUGGGCGGAGGCGGGGGCUCAGGACCGCCACCGUGCAGCCGGGCCAGACUGCGGAGGGAGAGGGGGCGCGGCAGCCCCGGGGUCUCGAUGUCCUUGCUCCGACGGCGGUGCGCGCGACGACAAGCACAGGACACCAAGAAGCCGGAGACGGAGGCGCCCAGGGCGAAGGCCGCCGCCACACAGGCCAGGAGGAGUGGGAUGGGGAUGGAGCGGGAGGCUGAAGAUGGGGGAAGGUCCCUGCGCACGCCUGCCGACCGAGAAGGGAGGGAGGGAGGCGUCUCAGCUUCAGGGUAGGCGGCGCACAGAACGGGCACGGGUGGGACCCACAGCAAGUUCUCAUGCUGCUGCUCAGCUUCACUCCACACAGUCUCAGGAGUCAUUUUUCCAGGAUCCCUAAACACACAGGCUAGAGCACGGGUCUGGGAUACCCCCUGCCCAGUUUUAGCCCCUGUAGCCAUGCCAAGAACAUCUGCCAAACUGCCCGUGAAGGACCCUGGCUGGGAUGUCCAGCUGUGGUGAAGGGAGGUUCCAAACAGGUGUUAGUAGGUAUCAAACACCCAUCAGCACCCGGCUUAGAACUCUCAGAGACUCAGCAGUUCCACACUGCACUCUCCCUCCCAGGCAACCCCUUACCCUGCGUGUGAGCUCCAAGAGUGGAAGACUGGGGCCCUGGGUGAGCAUCACUGGGGGAACUGGGGAUCUCAAGGGAAGGGCCAGGACCCAGAAGCACUGGUAACAGAGACCAGGUCAGAACCAGUGAGAUUUAAGCUCUCCACCCCUGACACCACCAAUCCCCUCCCCUUUGGAACCCAGGAGUCCAGAAUUCCAGUGUCUCACUGGUUGUUCAGGGUGCUGGCCUGCCCAAACAGAUUUGGUUGUGUGGGCUAAGCAAGGGAAAGAGAAACUGAGGACGGAAGACUCACCAUAAGCAGAAUCUCCAGGGCCGGACUGGCUCCCAGUAGCUCCAUCUAUGAGACAGGGUGAGAAUGAAGGAAAGGGGAAGCUCCUGAAAACCUGAGGUAACUGGUACAGAUGCUGAGAAGAACAGGUGCCCAAGCCUGAGAUGUUGUUGGUAGCCAUCAGAGCCAUAGGCAACUUCGGCUGUGACCCUUGUGUUUACCUUGGCAGUCACCAUGCUCCAUGGAUUCCUGGUUCCCAGUCACAUCCAUAUCAGUCCUAGAAGGAAACGGGGUGCUCACUGUGGCUCUACACUUUGCCAGACACUCUCCUCAGGAGUCCCGGGGCUCCUCACUUACCCACCAGGUCCCCUGAUAGUCACACAGCCUUUCAAUCGAUGCCAGCCACAGUAUGGGUCCUGAGAACCCAGACAGCUCCUAAGGGAAACUGAGUUGUGUGAGGCUGGUGCCCUUCCCCUUACCAUAUUCCACUCCGUUCCCUCUUUACUCCCCCUGGCUUCCAAGAAACUCCCAGCCCCAGAUUUCCAUCCAUCCAUCCAUCCCAAUCUGCUCCAGACCAUAGUUGCUGCCCAAUUUCAGACUACCCAAGGUACCCAGCCUCUCCUCCACCAUCUCCAUUUCCUGGCUAUCCUCAAGACCUGGGGGUUUUUCUGUGCUCCCACUAGUCCAGGAAGCAUAGCCAGGCGGCAUCUGACCUUGGCUGCUCACCUCUGACAUGCCCCAUGCCGGGCACAGCGACUGAGUGGGAGGUAGACAAUACAUCCAGGAAAGGCCACAAAGAGCCUGUGACCCUCAGUGUCCAGCUCCAGCCCAAUGAUCCGCCGGGCAGCUCGGGCUGAGCGCUUCCCACCGCACCUAACGUGAGGUGGAGAAAGCGAGACUGUUUUCCAGAACAGUCUAUGGUGGAGACGAAGUGCCUAGUGGAGACGGCGCACAGAACACCCGAGCACGACCUAUGGAACCAUCCUACCCAACACAGUGGAGCUUUCUCACCAAACCCUUUUCCUGCCUCCAGGCCUCUAAUUCUGCCAGACCAACACUGGAGCCCCCAACCUAGUCCCCCAUCCCCAUCCCCAUCCCCCACCUCUGCCCUGCGGGGACCUGCCCCCACAAAGAACUCACCGGGCAGGGCUGUAGGCAUCGAUCUCUUCUAAUAUGAUAGGCUCAGGUCCCAGAGACUGUCCCCCUGGAGGUAGCACCUUCAGCACCGUCCCAUCAUUGGAGCCAAGAAACAGGACUGUCGUGUUUCUGUGGGGCCCGGCCUUGCCAUCCACAGCCACCUGGGUCAGUAGGGCUCUGGGGCGACAGGCUUCAGGUGAGGACACCACGUCUAGACAGCCCAGAUGCCCUGGUUCCCACUCUCUUACUCCUUCACGAGUCCCACCCCCACGCCAACGUGAUUUAUCCCGUGGACCCCACCAGAGGAAGAUGGGUGUGGCGGAGGGCGGGAGGCGGUGAUUACCUGCUAGUGAGAGUGAGGAGAGGCUGGUGGGUGGCAGGUGGCACAGCGGGAUCCAGCAGUGGAUGUGCCUUGAUGAAGAGCAGGACAUCAUCAGGUAGGUCUUGAGAGGAGGAGAACAAGGCAGCUCCACCCACACCUGCACAGGACCCUGGCCUGGUGGGCACAUGGGAAGGGGCAGCCUUAGGGUAGAGAAUGGGGGUUAAUUACGCUAUGUGCCCCCUGCUCUCAAGCAUGGUUGGUAACCUCUACUCCCCUGCAGACACACACACGGCUUCCCUUUCCUGCUGCAGCCCCUCAGUCCAACCCAGUGCUAGCCUUGUCCCUGGGCACAGUGACCUGAGCCCUCCUCACAACCCACUGUGAAGAACAAGCACUGCUUCCGCCCCGUGAAAGCCACCCCCAUCCCGGUACCUGGGGGAGGGGACUCUGUCCUCAGACACAGGAGCCCAGGCCCCAUCCAGACUCCUCUGCUCCUUGAACUUGCCCUCAAACCCACGCUCCAUGUCAUCCAGGUAGAAGGCGCAGACUGCAGACCCAGGGAUGCUGAGGGAGCCAGAAGAGACUCAAGGACCCAGAAGAACCCCGUGUGCCCAACUCCUUACCCUCCCCAGCCGGGCAUCCUCCACAGAGACCUCUCGGAAGAAGAAGUAGACAUGGUCUCCAUGCUCCAAAGCAUAGACAAAGUGUGGCUCUAAGGCAUAGUCUGACCCCCAGGAUGACUGACCUCGCAACCACUUGGAGUCAUACUUGGCCGAACGGAGUGGGGGCUGCGGUCCAAGACUUCUGUAAACUACAGCAUCACUGGCCUGGAAGUCUGCUGCUGUGGCUGAGUACAAACUGCCCUCUGGAGGGGUAAGGAUUGGGAGGCUCAGGGUCUGUCUCUUACCAGGGCACCCACACAGCAACUUGGGCCUUUCCUCCAUGCCCCUACUACCCUCCACUCAGGACAUGGGGAAAGACCAAGUUGGGAGAGGAUCUCCUUCCAGCCAUAUGCCUGCUUUUCACAUGCCCAGGUGCACACCUGCAAAGAUGGCCACAUUUGACUGGGUGGCAUCAAAGGGGCAUCGAGCUUGCCCACUCAGCUCCUCACCCUCCUGUUGCAGCGAAGUUAUCUGGGGGCAGAGGACGCAGGUUCCUGGAACCUUGGGGUCUUAGAAGUGUGGCCCCACAGCCCAUUCCCACUCCCCUCCCUCCCAGCCCCUUCUGCACUGUGGCAUUCCAAGCACGCCCACUCCCAUCCCCAGAUGCCUGCCUCUUCCCACCAAACUGGAAUCUCCUCCCAGCCCUCCUCUGUACCCCAUAACUGCGGCACAUGGGGCUGAACGAGUUUGUUCCACAGGCAAGGAGUGUCUGCGAGUCCCAGGGAACAAGAACACGGAUGUAGUUGUAGCAUUCGUCCUAGAGAACCCAGAAGUCUCGGUUAGUGACAGGCCUGGAGCUGGAGUCGGGUCACAGGAAGUAAGGCAGUAGUCAGCAGUCCUGAGCCAUCAUAGCAACAUGGCUAACGUCUCAAGCUGUUUCCUGGCCCCUUAGCGUUCCCCAAGUUCUUUGGUAUCUUUGAACCUGCUUUUCUUUUUCCUGGGGUGUGUAAAGGAAACUAAAAGUGUGACCUCUUUCCUUCCCUCUGUCCUCUGGGCUGGGAUGGAAAAGGGGGUAAGGAAUGGUUGUGGAGGCCCACUCCCUGGAGGCAGUCCUCGCCUUCCCUCCAGUUAUAUCCACUCCUCACCGUCAGCUUUCCCCGGACAGCACAGUUCUCCAUGUCUUGGCUCCUCCAUGUCAGAAACUGAAGAGAGAAAAAGAGGAGAGGUCAAGGGGCAACCAGGACCCCUGCUCACAUUAGGACUCCUUUUUAGGUGCAUUUUUCAACCCAUGGGACCCCCAUUACACCUUUCCCAGCUUUUCUCCCUGCCUGCACCUCCUCGCAUACAGCCCCUCACCUUGUUGGGCACCAGCCCCUCCCCUUCUUCUUGGGCUUGAAGAUCGAAGGAGAAAACGUGAUCCCUGAAGGGUAGGUAAGGAGGGGUCAGAGCUGAGCCGAGGCACCCUGCCUGCCUGAGCUCCUUAGUCCCCUGCUUACCCAUGUUCACCUGCUCAGGGCCAAGCCACACAAAGUUCCUGCUCCCUAGCCUCCCCCUUACUCCACGCCUUGGCAUUUGUUCUCUGGGUCCAAGCAUGUCCAUGUCCCAUGGCUUGUGCACCUGCAUGUGUCCCCUGCAAGAUGCUGCAGUGGCCAUGCAGGUCCCAUGUCUGCCCAGGAGCAUGCAUGUCUGCCCCACAACUGUGCCUCGGCCAUUUUACCGGGCGGCCACAAGCAAGGUCCGGUUCAAGGUCAGGAAUCGCUGAAAGUCCAGCCCAAGUUCUGCAGCCACAGCAUCCUCCUCCAGGCCCCGGAACCAGGAUAAUGGAGAAGUACCUAGAGGAUGGCAGUUGAGAUAAUACACACUUUCCAAUCCCUUUCCUACCAGAGAAAACCCAGCCAUGAACAGAACAGGAGACAAGAGAGGCCAACAUCUUACUAAAAACAGUACCAGAAGCUAGGCAUUGUGGUGUACAUCAGCAAUGGGAAGGCUGAGGCAGGAGACUGCUGAGAGCUAAGGCCAGCCCUUGGUUACUUAGCAAGGACCAGGCAGUGUACGAGGCAGAGGCUGUCUCAAAAACAAACCUCUGAGGGUAAAGAUACUUGUAGCCGAGCCCAACUCCGUGAGUUCAAAUAGCGGAAGCAGAGAACCAAUGCCCCAGGUUAUCCUUUAAUUUUCACUCACAUGCCAUAACAUAUGCACUCACCCCAAAUAAAUAAAUGUUAAACAAAUACAAAAACAA